AAGAAAUGUCCUCAAAGAAAGAGAGCACAAAGGGUCUGUAAUUGGCAGGUCCAGACUGAAGGGGGUGGUAUUUGAAGACUCUUCUCAAGACCUGGAGCUCCAAGUGUGUUCAGUUCUAGACCUUAAAGAUGCUUUCUUCAGCCUAACUAACCUUGGAAGCCAAGAGCCAACCACUCUUUGCCUUCGAAUGCCAUGGCCUAAACGGGCUUCAUUGGACAACUCACCUGGACCUGACUGCCACAAGGGUUCAAAAAUUACCUAACUAUCUUUAAUGAACGUUGAGACUUGAGGAUUCUUGGAACUCACACCCUGAGACUCUGAUGUCAUCCGUGGCUGCACAGAGAUACUUCAGCAAGCACAUGGAAGCCGAUUGUGUGCUCAAAUCCAGAUCUCAUGCAUUUCACAUGUGGCGGCAGCAGUUUUAUU